AUUGAACGCUGGCGGCAUGCCUUACACAUGCAAGUCGAACGGUAACAGGUCUUCGGAUGCUGACGAGUGGCGAACGGGUGAGUAAUACAUCGGAACGUGCCCGAUCGUGGGGGAUAACGAGGCGAAAGCUUUGCUAAUACCGCAUACGAUCUACGGAUGAAAGCGGGGGAUCUUCGGACCUCGCGCGGACGGAGCGGCCGAUGUCAGAUUAGGUAGUUGGUGGGAUAAAAGCUUACCAAGCCGACGAUCUGUAGCUGGUCUGAGAGGAUGAUCAGCCACACUGGGACUGAGACACGGCCCAGACUCCUACGGGAGGCAGCAGUGGGGAAUUUUGGACAAUGGGCGAAAGCCUGAUCCAGCCAUGCCGCGUGCAGGAUGAAGGCCUUUGGGUUGUAAACUGCUUUUGUACGGAACGAAAAGCCUCUUUCUAAUAAAGAGGGGUCAUGACGGUACCGUAAGAAUAAGCACCGGCUAACUACGUG
rnacentral:rRNA from 1 species